UGUGACCUCGGGGCGCUCAAGGACCCACAGUCGAUCAACUCGGGGAGGAGAAAGUACUUGUCGCAAUAAUGAUCGAGAAACACUACUACAAUGUUAGCCUUUAGAGGCAGUUUUUUCAACCCCAUUUAUAAAAAGGGAAGCUAAAGGGUGUGAAAAUACCCGCUAUGUUCGAAAUUGACAUUUAGAGGCGGUUUUUUGGUAAAAACCGUAGGUAUAAAAUUGCAUUAUACCAUUUAGAGGCGGUUGGAAAUUAAUUUUUAUUUUUUUUUUCUGAAAUACCCUAUGCCGUCGGUUCCUUCAUAGGAACCGACGGCAUAGGGUACACGAAAACCUGACACGUGUACCCUAUGCCGUCGGUUCCUAUGAAGGAACCGACGGCAUAGGGUCGAUCUCUGAAUAAACCCUAUGGCUCGUCUUCCUCCUUCAUUUCACUCAGCCAUUUCCCCACCCAGCAAAAACCAGAGAGAAAAAAACCCAGCAAAAACCCUCGCCGAACAAGCUUCUUUCAACCAUAUCUCCCCCAUUUCUCAACCAUUUCAGCCCAUUUUUUUUUUAAAAUCCUCCAUUUUCGAUACUUAAUAACAUACACCUAAAAAGUUUUGAUUUUUUAGCCUCUAAAAGUGUCAUCCGAACCCAAAUAGUAAAUUUUGGGUGUGAAAUCCGGCCACCCAUUUUUGUUGAGAAAUUGUUCAAUCUCAACCUCGUUUAAGGUAUAAAUAUUGCUUCUAUUCUUAUUGUAUUAUGUAUAUUGUUUUAUUUUUUGUUUUUGUAAAUUAUUAUUUGAGUUUUUUUAUUUUAUUAGUAAUAUUAUUGUGUUUUAUGUGUAUAGUGUCGGGAUUUUUUACGGUGGUCGUCGGAUUGCGGUUAUUAGGGGUUCGGCAUAAUUUUGUGUGUAGCGUAUUUGGGCUUGCAAUUAUAGACAUGGCGAACUCAGAAUCAGGAUCUGAUUCGGGAGCAGAAAAUGAGUGUCCAACCACAAUACCUACACGAGGGCCGACGCAAAUGAAUGAAAUAUCCAAACUAAUGGAUCAGGGCAAAAGAGUGGCCCUUGAAGUUAAUGAUAAAGGUCAAUACUGUGGAAAAAGCUACGCGAAGCUCGUAUCCACUCUAGGAGUCAGAUGUCGGCAGACAAUAGGGUUGGCUUAUAAAAACU